GUAUAAGGCCAUAACACCCUGAAUGAGCCCAAUCCCCUCUGACCUCAGAAGCUAAGUAGGGUCAGAUCUGGUUAGGUCUUGGACAGGAAAAAUGAUGCGACUUGUUUU
rnacentral:rRNA from 1 species